AGGGUGUUAGCUCAAUUGGAAGAGCGUUCUCCUGCUAGGAGAAAGGAUGCAGGUUCAAGUCCUUGCACACCCU
rnacentral:tRNA from 2 species